UAAGAGAUAUCAGAGCUUUCGUGCGCCAUCAGUUUUGGGAAACCUCUGUCGUAUUUUAAGUAGUUUGGUAACUCUGAUAGUACAAUCUGGUUGGUAAACCUUUGUUAUGCAUGCAGUUCUGCGACACUCAUUUGAAAUUUUCUACAUGGUGAACUGUUUCGUUUAUCAAAUGUGUGCAUUUGGGAAUUCUAGUGAACGUCUAUCAGGUGCCUUGCUGUUUUUCUCUUUACUACGGCCUUUGCAGUCCCUUGUUAUGACCCUUUGUACAUGUCGUUUGCGGCCAUCAUAGUCGUCUCUACGCCAAGUUGGUAAAGUCUACUGUCACUGCGUCAAGUUCCAUCAAAGCGCGUCAAGUAAUGUGUUUUUGCUGGGUAUUUCUCGGUUUGAGCUCUGUAUGAAAUAUGGGCUUACUUAAUUGAAAAUCAAACAUAUAUGAAAUUUAGUUGAACAUUUGAAUUUAAAUUCAACCACAACCGAUGCUGCGCGGUCCUAAUUUUUUACAAUCGCCGUUAUAAAGCGGCCAUCCAAAGCAGACCUUGCGACGCCCCUCUCUGACUAACAUGCCUUGUAAACCUCCUCUACUCUCAAUCUUCUCUUAGCACCACACUCUUGAUGGCCUUCUCAAGCUCCAAAGCCUUGCGGGAGGACCUCUCGUCCGAAAUGAAAGAGGAGAUCGACGCCAUUGUAGAGCUCACCGGAGACCGAUGCCGUGAACGCGCCAAUGGCAGAGGCGUCCCGCGUCGGCCUAUGCAGGCAUCGAGAAGGCGGAGGUUGUAGGCUUGGCCGGCAUGCGCGUGCCGAAAUGUGGCCUUUCGCUCCUCCUUGUUGGCCGAUUAGCCGCUUGUAGGCUGCGGCGGCGGAGGCUGCAGAGGCAAAGAUGAAGGCUGCAGCGGCGAAGCUUGAGCUUCAUUUUUUGAGGUUCAUGGCUGGCGGGAUAUGGGAAUGGGCGCCGACGAUCACUUAGACUAGGUUAGAGUACAAUUUAGUUUAAAGAAAAUCUGAAAUGUAAUGAAUUUGGUCAGGUUUAUAUGAAAAUCAGCCGGUUUGCAUGAGUUUUCUCUGACCUGUUGAAAUGCAUUUUGAAAUGUAUGCGGAUAGCAUUGGAUGGCCGGCUCACGCAUUCAUGUCCGCGGAUGGAUGUGUUGUCCGAUUUACGGGUCAGCGUUAGAGAUGCCCUUAUGCAAUAUCGCACAUGUGGUCAUGGUACGCCACAAGUCUUUUUAUCCCAAAAGCGUACAAGACCACAAACAAUGGUAAAGCGAGCUUUGGGAGCCCAAAUGCUUUCUACAUGCUUCUUGUCUCUUGUUUGAUAUAUUCUAAACAAAAGUUAUAAUAUCCCAUGUUGUAUUGAACGACCAUUGAUUUCAAAAUUCACAGGAGGUGCCUCACCAACAAAAAGCCUUGAAAACAGGUGAGAUCUUCGUAGAACAUUCAGAUCAUUAUUAGAUCCUGUCAAUCCAAAAUAUUAAUAUCAAAUCCACAUGUCAUUUGAUACCACAACUUCUAGAAUUAUAGUUGCAUCUUUACUUUCUCCUUUGAAUUGUCCAUGUAAUGUUGUAGGGCAAAUAUUCUACUUUCAAUGCAUGUAAUCGGUACAUCCAAGCUUUCCCGGAAAGGCUUUUGAACCCAUCUCAAGAAUUCUUGCGAUGUCCUCUUCAUUUGGAGCUCAAAGAUAUUCUUCUCCAAAUAUCUCAAUGACGGGCUUCGUUAUUUUUUCCAAACUAUCAAUGCAAGUACUUUCUACCGUUCCAAUCCAAUUAUCAAUAGAAUUAGUUGUACAUUCGUAUGCAAGCAUUCUCACGGCUGCACAAUUCUUGUUCAUACUAUUGUGACCUUGUUGACCAGCUGCAUUUCUUCUUUAUUGAAAGAACGGACAAUGUUCUUCAACGUCAUGCGCAAUGCGUACGAACAACCUCAUUGACAUACAAAAUCUUCUCCUAAAAGUUUUUGCACCAUAUACCAGACUCUCAUCAAAGUAAUCAUCCAAUAGCUUCUCGUGACCGGCUUACUUGUUCUGACGGAGUACAAGAUGACUUGGCAUUGAUCCUCCCCACUUUGGCUUCUUGUUUCGUGUUUGCAUACAUAGCCAUCACAAGAUCAAUCUGUUCAUCCUCGUGCUUGACUCGUCGAGAAACGAUCGAACAAAACCAUUCAUCUACAAUCAAUAAGAAAAACUAUGAUCAACCACAAUGUCAUACAAAUUUUCUUGAAACAUAAAAAAAA
rnacentral:lncRNA from 1 species